rnacentral:rRNA from 1 species
AGUGAACGCUGGCGGUAGGCCUAAUACAUGCAAGUCGAACGGCAGCACAGUAAGAGCUUGCUCUUACGGGUGGCGAGUGGCGGACGGGUGAGGAAUACAUCGGAAUCUACUUUUUCGUGGGGGAUAACGUAGGGAAACUUACGCUAAUACCGCAUACGACCUGCGGGUGAAAGCAGGGGAUCUUCGGACCUUGCGCGAUUGAAUGAGCCGAUGUCGGAUUAGCUAGUUGGCGGGGUAAAGGCCCACCAAGGCGACGAUCCGUAGCUGGUCUGAGAGGAUGAUCAGCCACACUGGAACUGAGACACGGUCCAGACUCCUACGGGAGGCAGCAGUGGGGAAUAUUGGACAAUGGGCGCAAGCCUGAUCCAGCCAUACCGCGUGGGUGAAGAAGGCCUUCGGGUUGUAAAGCCCUUUUGUUGGGAAAGAAAAGCAGCAGGUUAAUACCCCGCUGUUCUGACGGUACCCAAAGAAUAAGCACCGGCUAACUUCGUG